ACUCUGGAAGGUAGUUCCAUUAGUAAAACAGUUUAAUGGCUGAGUGCUAUGAAGCCAGAAAUGGAUUGAAAUUGGUAGAGAACUUUUUAGUUUUUAUAGUCUAUUUUUUUUUAACUUUUAAAAAAAUGCCUCUAUUUUGUUUAUUUUUAUGUCAUGCUGAGGAUUGAACCCAGUGCCUCACACAUGCUAGUCAAGUGCUCUGCCGCUGAGCUAUACCGCCCCAGCCCUUAUAUUGUAAUUUUUAACUGUCAUUUUUUAUUGUUUUAAUAUGCUAUUAUAUUAAGACAGUUACACGUCUUUAAGUCCUUUUUUUUUUUAAUAUUUAUUUAUUUAUUUUUCGGUGGACACAACAUCUUUGUUUGUAUGUGGUGCUGAGGAUCGAACCCGGGCUGCACGCAUGCCAGGCGAGCGCGCUACCACUUGAGCCACAUCCCCAGCCCCGUCUUUAAGUCCUUGUAAAAGUAAGAGCCAUGUAAAUUAACUUAGUAGUAUGUUAACUAGUAUUGACAUGUAUAGAUUUGUAGUAAGACAUUUUUCCUACUUCGUGAUGCCCCUGGCACAAGCAUUGUAUCAGAAAUUGGUCCCAAAUUUUGUUGUAGAAUUUCCACGUGAUUCCACUAGUGUGUUAAGUAUCCUUUAUUAUUGGGAUUGAACCCAGGGGCGCUUAACCACUAAGUCACAUCCCCAUCACUUUUUUUAAAAAUAUUUAUUUUUUAGUUGUAGUUGGGCACAGUACCUUUAUUUAACUUGUUUAUUUUUGUAUGUGGUGCUGAGGAUCAAACCAGGGUUUCUCACGUGGGAGGUGAGCGCUCUACUGCUGAGCCACAACCCCAGCCCCCAUCCCUUUUUGUAUAUUACUUAAAGACAGGGUCUCAAGGAGUUGCUUAGGGCCUUGCUAAAUUGCUGAGGCUGGCUUUGAACUCACUAUUCUCCUACCUUAGCUUCCUAAGCUACUGGGAUUAUAGGCAUGCACCAUUGCACCCAGCCCCUGGC
rnacentral:lncRNA from 1 species